AGCAUAUCAAUAAGCGGAGGAAAAGAAACCAACAGGGAUUGCCUCAGUAACGGCGAGUGAAGCGGCAACAGCUCAAAUUUGAAAUCUGGCUCCUUCGGGGCCCGAGUUGUAAUUUGGAGAAGAUGCUUCGGGUGCGGUCCCGGCCUAAGUUCCUUGGAACAGGACGUCACAGAGGGUGAGAAUCCCGUACGUGGCCGGUGGCCGCCCCCGUGUGAAGCUCUUUCGACGAGUCGAGUUGUUUGGGAAUGCAGCUCAAAAUGGGUGGUAAAUUUCAUCUAAAGCUAAAUAUUGGCCAGAGACCGAUAGCGCACAAGUAGAGUGAUCGAAAGAUGAAAAGCACUUUGGAAAGAGAGUUAAACAGUACGUGAAAUUGUUGAAAGGGAAGCGCUUGCAACCAGACUUGCGCGCGGCCGAUCAUCCGGUGCUCGCACCGGUGCACUCGACCGCGCGCAGGCCAGCAUCGGUUUGGGCGGCUGGACAAAGGCCCCGGGAAAGUGACCCCUCUCGGGGGGUGUUAUAGCCCGGGGCGCAAUGCAGCCCGCCCGGACCGAGGACCGCGCUCCGGCUAGGAUG
rnacentral:rRNA from 1 species